rnacentral:rRNA from 1 species
UGGGGAAUAUUGCACAAUGGGCGCAAGCCUGAUGCAGCCAUGCCGCGUGUGUGAAGAAGGCCUUAGGGUUGUAAAGCACUUUCAGCGAGGAGGAAGGCAUCACACUUAAUACGUGUGGUGAUUGACGUUACUCGCAGAAGAAGCACCGGCUAACUCCGUGCCAGCAGCCGCGGUAAUACGGAGGGUGCAAGCGUUAAUCGGAAUUACUGGGCGUAAAGCGCACGCAGGCGGUUUGUUAAGUCAGAUGUGAAAUCCCCGCGCUUAACGUGGGAACUGCAUUUGAAACUGGCAAGCUAGAGUCUUGUAGAGGGGGGUAGAAUUCCAGGUGUAGCGGUGAAAUGCGUAGAGAUCUGGAGGAAUACCGGUGGCGAAGGCGGCCCCCUGGANAAAGACUGACGCUCAGGUGCGAAAGCGUGGGGAGCAAAACAGGAUUAGAUACCCUGGUAGUCCACGCUGUAAACGAUGUCGACUUGGAGGUUGUGCCCUUGAGGCGUGGCUUCCGGAGCUAACGCGUUAAGUCGACCGCCUGGGGAGUACGGCCGCAAGGUUAAAACUCAAAGGAAUUGACGGGGCUCAUAGCUGUUUCCUG